rnacentral:rRNA from 1 species
UCGGUGGGGAUUAGUGGCGAACGGGUGAGUAACACGUGGGCAAUCUGCCCUGCACUCUGGGACAAGCCCUGGAAACGGGGUCUAAUACCGGAUACUGACCCUCACGGGCAUCUGUGAGGUUCGAAAGCUCCGGCGGUGCAGGAUGAGCCCGCGGCCUAUCAGCUUGUUGGUGAGGUAAUGGCUCACCAAGGCGACGACGGGUAGCCGGCCUGAGAGGGCGACCGGCCACACUGGGACUGAGACACGGCCCAGACUCCUACGGGAGGCAGCAGUGGGGAAUAUUGCACAAUGGGCGAAAGCCUGAUGCAGCGACGCCGCGUGAGGGAUGACGGCCUUCGGGUUGUAAACCUCUUUCAGCAGGGAAGAAGCGAAAGUGACGGUACCUGCAGAAGAAGCGCCGGCUAACUACGUGCCAGCAGCCGCGGUAAUACGUAGGGCGCGAGCGUUGUCCGGAAUUAUUGGGCGUAAAGAGCUCGUAGGCGGCUUGUCACGUCGGUUGUGAAAGCCCGGGGCUUAACCCCGGGUCUGCAGUCGAUACGGGCAGGCUAGAGUUCGGUAGGGGAGAUCGGAAUUCCUGGUGUAGCGGUGAAAUGCGCAGAUAUCAGGAGGAACACCGGUGGCGAAGGCGGAUCUCUGGGCCGAUACUGACGCUGAGGAGCGAAAGCGUGGGGAGCGAACAGGAUUAGAUACCCUGGUAGUCCACGCCGUAA